UACGGAAGGCAGCAGUGGGGAAUAUUGCACAAUGGGCGCAAGCCUGAUGCAGCCAUGCCGCGUGUAUGAAGAAGGCCUUCGGGUUGUAAAGUACUUUCAGUCGUGAGGAAGGUGUUAAGGUUAAUAACCUUAGCAAUUGACGUUAGCGACAGAAGAAGCACCGGCUAACUCCGUGCCAGCAGCCGCGGUAAUACGGAGGGUGCGAGCGUUAAUCGGAAUUACUGGGCGUAAAGGGCACGCAGGCGGUUAAUUAAGUUGGAUGUGAAAUCCCCGGGCUUAACCUGGGAAUGGCAUUCAAGACUGGUUAGCUAGAGUCUUGUAGAGGGGGUAGAAUUCCAUGUGUAGCGGUGAAAUGCGUAGAGAUGUGGAGGAAUACCGGUGGGCGGAAGGCGGGCCCCUGGGACAAAGACUGACGCUCAUGUGCGAAAGCGUGGGGAGCAAACAGGGAUUAGAU
rnacentral:rRNA from 1 species